UUACGGCUGCCAAAGGGAGAGUAUGUUGUGACAGCCAUUUAGCUGCUUUCCUCUUCUCCACUCCCUCCUACAACUGAGGGUUUAGUGGCAGAAAUACUCUGAAGGAAUUAAAUAAAUGGCUGAGAUGACGGGGUUGGGGCUGGAGAAGCUGCAGGGUUAGACCCAUGAGGUGUAAAGAGAUGGUUCGAUUGUGUAGCAAAAGCUGGAAAGAAACAAAACUGCAGUUGGUGAGGAAAAGACAACACAAUAUGGACUCACUUCCUACCUCUUAUGAUCCAAAGCCACUGGAGCUGAGGAUAUGAAAAUCUCUCAGACUGUUUCGUUGUACUUCUGUUCUUGAGAUGACAUAUAGUGUUUUUUUUGUUUAAAUUCAUGCAUAUUUUAAACCCAAUUUGGUGCAGAUUUUUAAAUUGUUUUGGUUGCUUCUA